ACUAUCUUGGCAGAUUAAUGUGUUAAAUUUAGAAUUUAUUUAUGUAGUUUAUAUUACAGAUAGUA
rnacentral:tRNA from 2 species